UAAAAAUUACAUUAAAUCCGAAACCUACUCAUUUCCCAUUCCUUUCAGCAAACCUCGUCUGCCUCGCUUCACCCUUCCCGGUUUCCCCCGGAAACCGUUGCCUACUUUCCCCUUUCUUCUCCUCCCGUGCCCGAAACCCGAGGCAGUACGGUGGCGUCUGCAGCUUGCUGGGAGGGAAGAUGACGACGGGAUCGCAGUGUACAAAUCUCUAAAGCUCUCUUAUAUCUCCUCUUUCUACUCUGCUCCUGUCCGUUUAACCCUCGUAUUUCUUUUCCUUCCUGCCAAGCUCCUCUCGCCCUACUCCUGGAUUUAGCUUUGUUAGGAUUUGGGCCAAAAAUUUUGGGGCGAUUAAGCACUCUCUUUCAUCCAUUUCUCAAAUUAUUACUGAAAUAUCAAAGGUCAUGAUAAAACCACAACUCUUAUUUUUCAUUUUUGUCAACUUUGCAAUGGUUUGAUCGUGACAGGCGUAAAUACUCCGAUAGUUCAAAAAAUCACCUAGAUGCUUGAUUUGUAAAUAGCAAUGUUUCUUGUUCUCUGCAGGUGAUUAUCUUGUAUUUAUGUAAAUCUUCCAAAUAUUUUUAGAGUUCAGCAAGAUUAGAAUAAUGAAAUGUUCUUUAUUCUCUUCUCUGAUUCUUGAAAAAAUAUUACAUCAGUACUCCGCACUUAGAGCUACGUUAAUAAAAUUAAGCCGCUCCGUGGAGGACUCAGGGAUGCUUCUCGAUCAAUGUGGGUGUUCGAUUUGUAAAUAGAUAUUUGUAGAACAACACUUUUUUCCGAAUGGCAAGUCAUGAAAGAUGGCCUGGUGUGUGGGGCUUCGCACCUCUCAGGCAAUCCGGGCAGUCAUGUUAUUAUUCGGAGGAUGGAUUGGAAGAUGAUAAAGUGUUUUUUGGUAUCCCAUUAAGAAGGAAUUAGCUUCCGUUUCAACGAACAUAUAUUUGGGAUUUUAAAUCUCAUCAUUCCAGGGAUUUAACAGUUUUCUGGUUUUAAUCCUCUCUAAAUUUACUAAAUCUGGCUUCGCAGGGUUUGUUAAAUUCAGCCAUCCAGUGCUGCCAUUAAACAUUGGGAACCAUAUGAAGGUUAAAUGCAUAAGAAUUCAGUGGUUUGUACGUAACUCUUUUUUAAUCUUAUUUUUUAGAUUCCCGCUCUUGUUCUUCAUCGAGGGAAGUGAUGGCAAAUCAUCGAUGGACCUUGAAUUUAAUAUGGAAAUUUUUUUUGUUCUCAAGCUAUGGUGGAUGGCAUGGGGCGAAGCUUCUCAGGCAGACUAAAUAGACAGUAAGAAUGCCAUUAAAUAAUCGGAACGUGAAGUUUAAAUACAUAAGAGUUCUGUGGUAUGUAUGUAAAUUUUCAAUUUUUCUUUUUUUCAUUUUAAGAUUAUGUUUUGGGUGUUCAUUGAGGAAAAUGAUGAUGAAUCAUUGAUCGACCUUAAGCUUGAGAUGGAAUAUUUACUUUUACUCGAGCUAUGGAGGAUAGCCUGGUCGGAGUCUUUUCAGGCUUCUUGCAUAUGCUUGCUAGUUUUCCAUUAAAUAAAAUGAACGAUGUGAAGUUUAAAUACAUACAAAUUUUGUGGUAUGUAGAUGUCCCAUUAUAAUCUUGAUACACCAUCAACAAAAUUCCAACUUUCAACACUAAUCUCGAGGUAUGCCACGGAGCUUUAGACAAUCUUUUAAGGAAAAAAUGUGUAAACUUUGAUAAGAAUUCUUCUAAAGCCCCAAUUUCAGCAAACUUACAGUCAAAUAGACUUGCUUGACGAGGCGGACCCAAUGGUAUCAAAAUUGGUCCAAUCCAAUUCAAAUCAAAAUUUGGUGUCACUGCUGGUUGUUUUCUUUUAUUUGAGAGUGUGUUGAAUUAUCGUGCAACGCCAAGACGAUAAUCCAUUACUCUACCGCCAUGAAUUUUCUAGCACGCUUAAAAUUUUAUUUUUAUUUUCUACUUUAUGCUAUUCUAUGAGGGAAGCGAUGAUGAAUCAGUGAUUGAUCUUGUACGUAAGAUGGGAAUUUGUCAUGUAAUGAAAUACGGAGGAUGGCUUUAUGGACAUGCAAGGCUGCUAUUUUUUAUUUUUUAUUAUGUAUUUUUUGUUCUCAAUUGGAUCACUCGGUUGUCCUUUUGUCCUCCUUGUUGCUUCGUCGGUUUUGGCCUAAUUAGCUUAUCUUGUAUUGGGCUUCACACCUCUCAGGCAACACCUGCAGUUCAUGUUAUGAUUCGGAGGAUGGAUUGGAAGAUAAAGGGUUGUUUGGUAUGCCAUUAAGCAGGAAUUAGCUUCCGUUUCAACUAACUUAUGUUUGUGAUUUUAAAUGUUAUCAUUUCUAGGAUUUAACAGUUUUUAGGUUGUAAUCCUGUUGAAAUUUACCAAAUCCGAGUUCACCUAAUUUUCUAAAAUCUACCAUGCUGGACUGCCAGGAAAGAACCGUAAGAAAGUUGAAUGUAUAAGAGAUCAGUGGUAUGUAUGUUAAACUUUCUAUUAUUUUAAUUUUAUUGUCAUAUUCUUGUUCUACAAUGAGGGAAGUGAUGGCGAAUGAUCGUUUGACCUUGAGCUUAAGCUGGAAGUUUUCUUUAUUCUCAAAGCUAUUGAGGAAUUCAUCCGGGGAAGCUUCUCUGUUAGCUUUUAUAUACAUGCUAGGGUGCCAUUAAAUAAGGUGAACCAUGAGAUGUGUAAAUACAUUAUAAUUCUUAGGUAUGUAUGUAAAUUUUCCGUAUUUAAUUUUUAUUUUGAGAUCAUGUUUCUUGCUUUUUGUUGAGGGAAAUGAUGAUGAAUCAUUCAUUAAUAUUGAACCAAGGAUGGAAUUUUUCCUGGUUGGAGUCUUCUCAGGCAAAUCACAUAGACAUGUUAGGCUGCCAUCAUAUAAAAUGAGCCAUGUGAAGUUUAAAUACGGAAGCAGUGACGAUUCAUUGAUUGAUCUUGUACUCAAGAUGGAAUUUCUUAUUGUAAUGAAGCUAUGGAGGAUGGACUUAUGGCAUGCAAGGCUGCUAUUAAGGAGAAUCAUGUGAAGUUUAAAUAUUUAAGAAUUCAGUGGUAUGAAUAUCAAUAUCCCUUUUUUUUUUCCCCUGCACUGAAACUAUUGAGGAUGGAGUUUUAAAGCUCCAAAUUGCUAUAUAGGUAAAUAUGAAAGUUUGGAUGUGAGAUGUGUAAAUACAUAAGAAUUGUGUGCUACACAUGUAUAUUUCCCUAUUUUUGUUUUUGGUUUUUGUUUCUUGUUCUUCAUUGAGGGAAGCGAUGAUGAUGCAUGGAUUGACUUUGAAAUAAAGUUGGAAUUUUUCCUUGUGCUGAAA